GGGGCAAUGGCUCAGUGGUAGAACAUUAACUUGGCAUGCAAAAGGUCCUGGGUUCCAUCCCUGACAGUUCCA
rnacentral:tRNA from 1 species